AUUGAACGCUGGCGGAAUACUUUACACAUGCAAGUCGAACGGCAGCACGGACUUCGGUCUGGUGGCGAGUGGCGAACGGGUGAGUAAUACAUCGGAACGUGCCCAGUCGUGGGGGAUAACGUAGCGAAAGCUACGCUAAUACCGCAUACGAUCUAAGGAUGAGAGCGGGGGAUCGCAAGACCUCGCGCGAUUGGAGCGGCCGAUGGCAGAUUAGGUAGUUGGUAGGGUAAAGGCCUACCAAGCCGACGAUCUGUAGCUGGUCUGAGAGGAUGAUCAGCCACACUGGGACUGAGACACGGCCCAGACUCCUACGGGAGGCAGCAGUGGGGAAUUUUGGACAAUGGGCGCAAGCCUGAUCCAGCCAUUCCGCGUGCAGGAUGAAGGCCUUCGGGUUGUAAACUGCUUUUGUACAGAACGAAAAGGCUCUGGUUAAUACCCGGGGCUCAUGACGGUACUGUAAGAAUAAGCACCGGCUAACUACGUGCCAGCCGCCGCCGUAA
rnacentral:rRNA from 1 species